rnacentral:rRNA from 1 species
CNNUGCAGUCGACGAUGAUGCUGGUGCUUGCACUGGUGGAUUAGUGGCGAACGGGUGAGUAACACGUGAGUAACCUGCCCCUGACUUCGGGAUAAGCCCGGGAAACUGGGUCUAAUACCGGAUAUGACUUCCUGCUGCAUGGCAGGGGGUGGAAAGAUUUAUCGGUUGGGGAUGGACUCGCGGCCUAUCAGCUUGUUGGUGAGGUAAUGGCUCACCAAGGCGACGACGGGUAGCCGGCCUGAGAGGGUGACCGGCCACACUGGGACUGAGACACGGCCCAGACUCCUACGGGAGGCAGCAGUGGGGAAUAUUGCACAAUGGGCGAAAGCCUGAUGCAGCGACGCCGCGUGAGGGAUGACGGCCUUCGGGUUGUAAACCUCUUUCAGUAGGGAAGAAGCCCCUUUUGGGGGUGACGGUACUUGCAGAAGAAGCGCCGGCUAACUACGUGCCAGCAGCCGCGGUAAUACGUAGGGCGCAAGCGUUAUCCGGAAUUAUUGGGCGUAAAGAGCUCGUAGGCGGUUUGUCGCGUCUGCCGUGAAAGUCCGAGGCUCAACCUCGGAUCUGCGGUGGGUACGGGCAGACUAGAGUGAUGUAGGGGAGACUGGAAUUCCUGGUGUAGCGGUGAAAUGCGCAGAUAUCAGGAGGAACACCGAUGGCGAAGGCAGGUCUCUGGGCAUUUACUGACGCUGAGGAGCGAAAGCAUGGGGAGCGAACAGGAUUAGAUACCCUGGUAGUCCAUGCCGUAAACGUUGGGCACUAGGUGUGGGGGACAUUCCACGUUUUCCGCGCCGUAGCUAACGCAUUAAGUGCCCCGCCUGGGGAGUACGGCCGCAAGGCUAAAACUCAAAGGAAUUGACGGGGGCCCGCACAAGCGGCGGAGCAUGCGGAUUAAUUCGAUGCAACGCGAAGAACCUUACCAAGGCUUGACAUGUUCCAGACCGGGCCAAANAUGGUCUUUCCCCUUUUGGGGCUGGUNCACAGGUGGUGCAUGGUUGUCGUCAGCUCGUGU